rnacentral:rRNA from 1 species
AUACGGAGGGUGCAAGCGUUACUCGGAAUCACUGGGCGUAAAGCGCGCGCAGGCGGCUAUUUAAGUUGGAUGUGAAAGCCUACGGCUCAACCGUAGAACUGCAUCCAAAACUAUUUAGACUAGAGUGUGGGAGAGGAAGAUGGAAUUAGUUGUGUAGGGGUAAAAUCCGUAGAGAUAACUAGGAAUACCAAAAGCGAAGGCAAUCUUCUGGAACACUACUGACGCUGAGGCGCGAAAGCGUGGGGAGCAAACGGGAUUAGAAACCCUAGUAGUCC